GACGAACCGAGCGAACGUUAUUCGGAAUCACUGGGCUUAAAGGGUGCGUAGGCGGCGCGGUAAGUCGGGUGUGAAAUCUUGGAGCUUAACUCCGAAACUGCAUUCGAUACUGCCGUGCUUGAGGACUGGAGAGGAGACUGGAAUUUACGGUGUAGCGGUGAAAUGCGUAGAUAUCGUAAGGAAGACCAGUGGCGAAGGCGGGUCUCUGGACAGUUCCUGACGCUGAGGCACGAAGGUCAGGGGAGCAAACGGG
rnacentral:rRNA from 1 species